GAUGAACGCUGGCGGCGUGCCUAAUACAUGCAAGUCGAGCGAAUGGAUUAAGAGCUUGCUCUUAUGAAGUUAGCGGCGGACGGGUGAGUAACACGUGAGUAACCUGCCCAUAAGACUGGGAUAACUCCGGGAAACCGGGGCUAAUACCGGAUAACAUUUUGAACCGCAUGGUUCGAAAUUGAAAGGCGGCUUCGGCUGUCACUUAUGGAUGGACCCGCGUCGCAUUAGCUAGUUGGUGAGGUAACGGCUCACCAAGGCAACGAUGCGUAGCGGACCUGAGAGGGUGAUCGGCCACACUGGGACUGAGACACGGCCCAGACUCCUACGGGAGGCAGAAGUAGGGAAUCUUCCGCAAUGGACGAAAGUCUGACGGAGCAACGCCGCGUGAGUGAUGAAGGCUUUCGGGUCGUAAAACUCUGUUGUUAGGGAGGAACAAGUGCUAGCUGAAUAAGCUGGCACCUUGACGGUACCUAACCAGAAAGCCACGGCUAACUACGUGCCAGCAGCCGCCGUAA
rnacentral:rRNA from 1 species